rnacentral:rRNA from 1 species
GUUUGACCUCAAAUCAGGUAGGAGUACCCGCUGAACUUAAGCAUAUCAAUAAGCGGAGGAAAAGAAACCAACCGGGAUUGCCUUAGUAACGGCGAGUGAAGCGGCAAAAGCUCAAAUUUGAAAUCUGGUACCUUCGGUGCCCGAGUUGUAAUUUGGAGAGGGCAACUUUGGGGCCGUUCCUUGUCUAUGUUCCUUGGAACAGGACGUCAUAGAGGGUGAGAAUCCCGUGUGGCGAGGAGUGCGGUUCUUUGUAAAGUGCCCUCGAAGAGUCGAGUUGUUUGGGAAUGCAGCUCUAAGUGGGUGGUAAAUUCCAUCUAAAGCUAAAUAUUGGCGAGAGACCGAUAGCGAACAAGUACAGUGAUGGAAAGAUGAAAAGAACUUUGAAAAGAGAGUGAAAAAGUACGUGAAAUUGUUGAAAGGGAAGGGCAUUUGAUCAGACAUGGUGUUUUGUGCCCUCUGCUCCUUGUGGGUAGGGGAAUCUCGCAUUUCACUGGGCCAGCAUCAGUUUUGGUGGCAGGAUAAAUCCAUAGGAAUGUAGCUUGCCUCGGUAAGUAUUAUAGCCUGUUGGGAAUACUGCCAGCUGGGACUGAGGACUGCGACGUAAGGCAAGG